UGGGCAUUGAUGAGCAGGUUGAGGUGAUCUGAUCUGAGGGCCAUGGGAGCCUUCUGAGAUCACACUAUGGGUACUUGCCCUGACAUAUGAAGCCCUAGCAUGAAAGAGCUUCUACAAGCUCAGCAAUGCAGUGCAGCUCAGCCCCACAUGAAGAAUGCAUGAUGGAGUGCUAGGGAAGUUCUGAAGCUCUCCAAGGAACACACAGUAUAAUCACAGGGCCAGAUGCUGCUAAGUUAGGGCGGUAGUGGCCUGAGCAGGAGCGUCUCGAUAAAAACACCCUACAACAACAGAAACGUGGAUCCUCAGAGACAGAGGAAUGUGGGACUCCCAGCAUAACAACACCAAUCCUCUCUAAGGAAAUGCUCCCCCACUACUCUGGCUACCUCUGAUCCCUUUUACAAGAGCCCUCCUGCCUCCCAAGCAGUCACGAUCACAAGGUACGUGAGAGCUGGAACACUGCCUGGUGCUCCAAAGCCCCCUCACAACCAGGCACAGUGCUGCAACAUGGCAGAUGCUAUGAAGAGGUUGAUUCAGCAGUUGUGACGAGAUUGUGGCUUCUCAGUCCUGCUCACAAUCCAGCGUGCUCCAGAAAGGAGGUUUCAAUCCUUCUCUCCACACCAGCCAAAGAAGUGGUGACUUUUUCCAGAGGACGAAGUCAAGGAAACAGGAACUGAAAAGGCGAGGGCUCCAAGGAGGGAGGCUGUCACAGAUGAGCCAACAAAUCCAACGGCUUUCCUGAGCUACUCUGGGAGCAACACGAGGAAGGGGCUCGUGAACACACGGCAGGGAAGUGGGCCAUGAAACUACUCCAUCCAGGCAGAUUAUCAGUCCUGCCCAUCUGUG
rnacentral:lncRNA from 1 species